rnacentral:rRNA from 1 species
UAUUUAUUUAAUGGCCGCGGUAUUUUGACCGUGCAAAGGUAGCAUAAUCAUUAGUCUAUUAAUUGUGGACUUGUAUGAAUGGUUGGACGUAAUAUUUACUGUCUCAUUAUUAUUAAUUGAAAUUAAAAUUUAAGUUAAAAUGCUUAAAUUUUUUUAAAGGACGAGAAGACCCUAUAGAUCUUUAUUUUAUUUAUUAUUUAUUCUUUUUGUUUUUAUUUUAUGGAUUUUAUAUAAUUUUUUGUUGGGGUGACAUGGAGAUAAAUUAUAACUCUUUAUUAUUUUUUUCAUUGAUUUUUGUUUAAUUGACCUUAUAUUAUUGUUACAAGAUAUAGAUACCUUAGGGAUAACAGCGUAAUUCUUUUUGAGAGUUCAUAUUGACAAAAGAGAUUGCGACCUCGAUGUUGGAUUAAGAUUAUAAUUAGGUGUAGCUGCUUAAUUAUUAGGUCUGUUCGACCUUUAAUUUCUUACAUGAUCUGAGUUCAAA